ensembl:antisense 1810064F22Rik RIKEN cDNA 1810064F22 gene
UUAUGUGUGCCCCAGGAUGGCAGGACUAGAUCCCAGGCUCACAACUGUGGAGGUACAAAAGAUUUUUUCAGUGCUGCUUGAGGACAUGAGACUACAGGAAAUGUUUAUUGGAAGCCCCAAAGAGAUUUAAUUACAGUAGUGAGGAAUUCAACAGGUCCUGGCCUUUCUAUUUCUAGUUGAAAUAGAAAAUGAACAUUAUUUUUGUCAUGGCUUUAGUUGUGCCUCAAUUGUGCUGUCUGGGUCCUUGACAGGAGUAGGAUCUUGUGUAAGGUUUUUUGGUUUGGUUUAAUUUGGUUUGGUUUGGUUUGGUUUGGUUUGGUUUGGUUUGGUUUUUUGUAACCCUAUUGUAGUGAAUGUCACUGAGUCUGGCAAAAAGGUUAGAGAAGACUGGUUUAAAGGAAGGACUUGGGGAUUUAGACUAUAAAAAACUGGUUAUGAUGAAGGAUUACUCUUUACCAUUAAGCUUAAAAUUGCACCUAUGUCUUUUUCAGUAGGACCUAAAAAGAUCAUAAAUAAGGCCAAAAAGAGGAACAACAGAGUUAAAAAGAAGAAUAAUGCUAAUAGGAAUAGGAGUAUACUGCUUUCUUACUUUCUUCUUCAGGGUCUGGUAUCCCUCAUAGUCCUACAGUUGCCACCACUACCUUUUCUACAUUUGCUACUCACCUAACAGAAUUAAUGGUAGGCAGAUUUCAUAUGCUUAAUGAUACUUAUCCUAAUAUCACUCAUUCUUGUUGGCUUUACUAUGACAUAGCUCCUCCUUACUAUGAAGGUAUUGCUUAUUAUCCAGCAAUGUUUCUUAUUCUAAUAGCUCUUGUGGUUUUUGAUGGAAUCAGAAACCUAGCAUAGGUCUUUCUCUACAUGAAGUUUCUGGACUAGGUACCUGCAUAGUGAAAAAUUCAUAAAGGUAAAAGACAGAGUUUAUGUAAUCAAAUGCUUACUGUUUCCACCUCUUCAUCUUAUUUUAUUCCUCCAAAAGAGGGAUAGUGAGUUUGUUCCAUAGGUCUUACCCCCUGCAUUCACACACAGGUAUUUGAUAGCUCCAAAGAUUUUUGUGUGUUGGUUCAACUUAUUCCUAGACUCAUUUAUCAUCCUUAUGAGGUGCUCUUGGAUCAUUGGGAUGGAGACUUCUCUCAAUCCAAGAGAGAACUUGCUAUUGCAUUAACUAUUUCGUACUGGUGGGGCUCAGUAUGGGAGGAGCAGCUACGGGCACUUCUGCCUU